rnacentral:rRNA from 1 species
UGUCAGUCAUAUAUGCUACUCUUAAAGAUUAAAGCCAUGCAAGUGUCAGGAUAGAUCAAUAGAAAAACGAACCUGCGGAUAGCUCAUUAAAACAGUCUUAAAUUUAUCGAUGAUUAAGGAAAAAUCCCUCGUGGAUUUUGAAGUGGAUACCAAAUGUAAUUCAUUUGAUAAUACAUGUGACUUGGAAUGACAGUUCAGGACAUGAGAAUGUGACUGUCAGUAUUUAUUAUUGAUGCGGAUGAUUCACCCAGCUUUUUAUGAAGCUGCACUGGAACUAAUAGGAUAACCUAUAAAUUGACAGAUCUAUGAGAUUAAACGAAUAGACGAAACGAAGGCAAGGCUGAUCCAUCAAAUCAUUCGUGGUAUCUUUGACCACGAAGUUGAUCACGGAUAACGAGAGAUCAGGGUUUGAUUUCGGAGAGAAAGCAUGAGAGUUUGCUUUCACUACCAAGGUAGGCAGCAGGCCCGGAAAUUACUCAAUAUCAAUUCGAUGAAGUAGUGACGAGAAAUAUCAGAAUAGGAAAUUUUAUUUGCUGUGUUUGGAAUGAGUACAAUUUAAAACCAUUAACGAGGAACUAUUAGAGGGCAAGUCUGGUGCCAGCAUCCGCGGUAAUUCCAGCUCUAAGAGCGUAUUUGAAAAUUGUUGCAGUUAAAAAGCCCGUAGUUGAAACUAGACUAAUUUUGAUAUUCGUUGAGAAUUUUAUUCGAGACGGUUUAAUGGAGAGAUAGUCAAAAGUCUAGCAUAUUAUUUGAACGAAUUCUUACCUGAUAACUAAAUUUGACUGGUAGGGAGGAGUGAUUUUAAACUAUAAUGUAAACUUUCUUGUUGGAGGUAAGUUUAAAACUGUAAAAAGGGGAUAAAUGAAUUGAAUAAAAAAGAGGAUUUAUAGGCUGAAUAAAGAAAUUCUAUCUUUAUUUCAGUAUGACUAGAAAAGUUCGCUUUGAACAAAUUAGAAUGCUCAGAAUAGGCUUAUGCCGGAAUACAUUAGCAUGGUACGACGAAAUUGAUUGAUAUAUUUUUGUGUGGAGGUCAAAGAUUGACUGAGAUGAUUGAAAAUUAAUUAGUAUGAAACUGAUGUUUGACUUUGAAAUCAUUUAGAUUUAGACUGGAAUAUAGCUUUAAUGUUUAAUAGGGGUAAAUGGCGUGAUUGUUAUUGAAGGGGUAGAGGUGAAAUUCUAUGAUCCUUUCAAGAACUACUACUGCGAAGGCAUUUCACGAAGAUGCUUUCAUUAAUCAAGGACGAAGGUUAUGGGCGCGAAGAUGAUUAGAUACCGUUGUAGUCAUAACAGUAAACGAUGUUGAUUUAGGAUUAUGAAAAGUUAAUUUGAAGACUUUUGUAGCACUAUGUGAGAAAUCAAAAUAUUUGAACUCUGGGG